GCUAAAUACAGGGUUUAAAGUAUUAAAACUAACAGCAAGAUAAUCGGGAAGUUGGUGAGCCUUUAUGAUAAAAGCGAUCCCAACACUGCCCCCGCAACGGUAAAGUAUUAACGCAUUUAUGUGUUUACUGAGUCCGGAGACCGGCCUUGAAGUAAUCUUACUU
rnacentral:ncRNA from 2 species